AGGUGUGCGCGCUGCUUACCGGCGGCGGGUAUGCGGAGAAGGUGGUGGUUCCGGCAGGGCAGCUGCUCCCGGUGACGGAGGGGGCGUCGCUGACUGACAGCCCGAGGUGGCCUCCACCGUCUGGUCCACCAUUUUCAUGCCAGUCACCUCUCCCUCGGUGAAUCCUUCCUUAUCCAUGGUGGAUCAAGUGGAAUCGGUACAUUCACUAUACAGAAUUCAAAGCACCUUGGAAAUGUACACACGAGACAUUAUUCUUUAGACAACAUCUCUACUGCUCUAGGAGGCACUUUUGACUGUCUGCAUCACCUUUAGGAAUUGCAGCUGGGCUGCAGAAGAGCUAAAUAACAAACCACGAACUCCAUAUAUCUAUUGUGAAGAUAAGUAUAAUAAGCAGAGACAAUUUUUGACAUUUUACAUUCAUACAUCAACACAAAUUGAUGUAUGCUAUCGCUAUUAUGUAGCCAUGGCCAUCAUACAAAACCACGAUGCAUAAAAAAUUGAGGUUCGUCAUUUAUAUUCCAAGAUAUGAAAAUAGAAAGACCAAUUUACACAAAAGUUCACUGGGAUGAAUUUAUAAAAUUAGCUGGGAACUACUACAGUUUGUCUACAAUUUAUAAAACUGUACUGCUAAGUUUCAUUUUGUUCCAAAUAGUGUGCCAAUUCACAUGGACCAAGCCUAUAUGUUUUUUUUAGAAA